ensembl:lncRNA
GGUGGUGGUGGUGAGGGGACGGGGGGGCUGGCUGCUGUAUCCACCCACCGGCUGGAUGGACAGGACUGGACGCAGCCUAUUGUCCUCUUCCUCCUCCUCCUCCUCCUCCUCCUCAGUGCUGCUCUUAGUUAUCGCACGAGUCCAGCUGUUACAUUCAUGCCGCAGUGCCCACGGGCUGAUGGGCACGGCGUGUCAGUGUAGCCCCUCUGUAGUCCGCUGCUGCGCUGGUGGUACCGACUCACUCAUCUUCUGCUCUGGUCUGAGAGAGGAGCAGGAGGGAGAGACCUACGGAAGAGAGGCAGAGCAAAGAGAGAGAGGUAGAGUUAGAGAGAGAGGGAGCAACGGAAGAGAGAGGCAGAGCGGAGAGAGAGGUAGAGUUAGAGAGAGAGGGAGCAACGGAAGAGAGGCAGAGCAAAGAGAGAGAGGUAGAGUUAGAGAGAGAGGGAGCAACAGAAGAGAGAGGCAGAGCGGAGAGAGAGAGGUAGAGUUAGAGAGAGAGGGAGCAACGGAAGAGAGGCAGAGCAAAGAGAGAGAGAGAUAGAGAGAGAGAGAGAGCAACAGAAGAGAGAGGCAGAGAGAAG